AUACAUCCAUUGAAGAGAAGAGUAAUUUUCGAAGGCUUUUUAGAGAGGUUCUGGUUGGUGAAAAGAACUAAGAGGUAGGAAAUGAAGAUGGUCUCUGAGGAUAAAUCAUCGAUAUGUAGGUGAUUUCGGAAGGUUCAAUCGUUAUCUUGAACACCAUUUCUUUGAUACAAAAAGAGAUGGAUUGAGGGAAGUUAAGACUUCCGAAAAAAGGUGGUACCGCGAUUAUUCGUCCUUUUG
rnacentral:ncRNA from 1 species